GACGAACGCUGGCGGCGUGCCUAAUACAUGCAAGUUGAGCGCUGAAGGUUGGUACUUGUACCAACUGGAUGAGCAGCGAACGGGUGAGUAACGCGUGGGGAAUCUGCCUUUGAGCGGGGGACAACAUUUGGAAACGAAUGCUAAUACCGCAUAAAAACUUUAAACACAAGUUUUAAGUUUGAAAGAUGCAAUUGCAUCACUCAAAGAUGAUCCCGCGUUGUAUUAGCUAGUUGGUGAGGUAAAGGCUCACCAAGGCGAUGAUAUAUAGCCGACCUGAGAGGGUGAUCGGCCAAAUUGGGACUGGGACACGGCCCAAACUCCUACGGGAGGCAGCAGGAGGGAAUCUUCGGAAAUGGACGAAAGUCUGACCGAGCAACGCCGCGUGAGUGAAGAAGGUUUUCGGAUCGUAAAACUCUGUUGGUAGAGAAGAACGUUGGUGAGAGUGGAAAGCUCAUCAAGUGACGGUAACUACACAGAAAGGGACGGCUAACUACGUG
rnacentral:rRNA from 1 species